AUAUAUGAAUAUAGAAAAUGUCAUAGCUGGUAAAUCUGCAUUGCACUUCAUGUCCUUUUGGAAUUUUUGACAGAUACAAACACCUCUGACUCCACAAGCACUGGGUCCAACAAUACAGCAGACUCACCCUCAUCCAUUACACCUGGCACAACAGAAAAUCAGACAAAAGGACCAGGUGAGCCUUUUAACACGUCAUACAGAUCACUGAGAAACUGCCAAGUUUUAUUAGCAUUCUUUAAACCAUGCAUUCUGUGGUCAGAUAUUGUAGAUUGCAGUUUUUAAGUAUUGCAUGUGAUAGCUCUUUUAAGAAGAGCUGUUAAUACAGGGUGAUUCAAAAGAGUCAGCCAAUUUCGAAAUGAUUUAUUUAUUAAAUAGGCUGUUACACUGUUAAAGAUUCACUUGAUUUCAAAAUGAUUUAUUUUGUAAUUAUACAAGUGCUCAGUAUGAACUCCUCCAGCUGUACGGAUAACAUAAACACCAUAGUCAAAUUCAUCCCAUAAUGGAUUGAGCAUGUUGGUGUUCGCUGCGCUCACUGCCCUUUUGAUAUGAUUUCGGAAAUCAUCUAGUGUUGUGGAACCAGCAAUGAACACUCUGAGCUGUUGGAG
ensembl:lncRNA